ensembl:lncRNA
CUUAUAAUGACGUGUGUUUCCCCAGGACACAAGCUGACGUGGAAUCAUGGAGAUCAAACGUGUGGGUCUGUUACUAUCGGUGAGGCCUUCCCACCGCAAGGACCAGACAUUCUCAAAGCUCCAUAAAGUCUUUCACAGCUGGUGAAGGGUCGACGGUGGCGCAGUACAGAGUAGAGAGGGUAUGCCGGGAACUGCAAGGAACUUGAUGUCACAGGCUCUGCUCUCUCCCUUCUCUCGUCCUACAUUGACGGCCGCACCUACCGGGUAACCUGGAGAGGAUCUGUGUCGGAACCUUGUCUUCUUACUACUGGAGUUCCCUCCUCUUCUCGCUCUACACCAACUCUCUCUGCUCUGUCAUUCGCUCGCAUGGCAUCUCCUACCACAGCUACGCCAAUGACACCCAACUAAUUCUCUCCUUUCCUCACUCGGGUGGCGGCACUGAUCUCUGCCUGUCUGACUGACAUCUCUCAGUGGAUGUCCGCCCACCACCUGAAAAUCAACCCCGACAAGACUGAACUACUUCUCUUCCCGGGAAAAGAUUCUUGUGUCCAGGACUUGACGGUCAACUUUGGCAUCUCUGUGUUAACGCCGACUGUGACUGCUAGGAACCUCGACGUGACACGUGACAGCCAACUCU